CAGAGUAGAUGGCCGUGCGUCAUAUAUCCGGUGCAGAGAAGACUCACCGGUAUCAGUGUCCCGACAACGGGGAGUUGUGUCGGGGACGAAACAUAUGAAGCGCUAUUUGGUAAACAAUACCAGGAAGCGUCAGUAUUGCGGUUCGACCAUUGCAUCCCGCU
rnacentral:ncRNA from 1 species